CGUAGGUAACCUGCCUGGUAGCGGGGGAUAACUAUUGGAAACGAUAGCUAAUACCGCAUAACAGUAGAUGUUGCAUGACAUUUGCUUGAAAGGGGCAAUUGCUCCACUACCAGAUGGACCUGCGUUGUAUUAGCUAGUUGGUGAGGUAACGGCUCACCAAGGCGACGAUACAUAGCCGACCUGAGAGGGUGAUCGGCCACACUGGGACUGAGACACGGCCCAG
rnacentral:rRNA from 1 species